GAUGAACGCUGGCGGCGUGCCUAAUACAUGCAAGUCGAGCGAACGGACGAGAAGCUUUCUUCUCUGAUGUUAGCGGCGGACGGGUGAGUAACACGUGGAUAACCUACCUAUAAGACUGUGAUAACUUCGGGAAACCGGAGCUAAUACCGGAUAAUAUUUUGAACCGCAUGGUUCAAAAGUGAAAGACGGUCUUGCUGUCACUUAUAGAUGGAUCCGCGCGGCAUUAGCUAGUUGGUAAGGUAACGGCUUACCAAGGCAACGAUGCAUAGCCGACCUGAGAGGGUGAUCGGCCACACUGGAACGGAGACACGGUCAAGACUCCUACGGGAGGCAGCAGUAGGGAAUCUUCCGCAAUGGGCGAAAGCCUGACGGAGCAACGCCGCGUGAGUGAUGAAGGUCUUCGGAUCGUAAAACUCUGUUAUGAGGGAAGAACAGAUGUGUAAGUAACUGUGCACAUCGUGACGGUACCUAAUCAGAAAGCCACGGCUAACUACGUG
rnacentral:rRNA from 1 species